UACGUAGGGUCCGAGCGUUGUCCGGAAUUACUGGGCGUAAAGAGCUCGUAGGUGGUUUGUCGCGUUGUUCGUGAAAACUCACAGCUCAACUGUGGGCGUGCGGGCGAUACGGGCAGACUGGAGUACUGCAGGGGAGACUGGAAUUCCUGGUGUAGCGGUGAAAUGCGUUGAUAUCUAUCGGAACGCCGAAGGUGAAGACAGGCAGCUGGGCUUGUUCUGACGCUGAUGUACGAAAGCGUGGGUAGCGAACGGG
rnacentral:rRNA from 1 species